rnacentral:rRNA from 1 species
AUGGCGCGCCCUGCAAGGAAAUGCCCAAGUACACACUCCCAUCUGUCAAGCUUGCUGGUUGACCUCUCUCCCGUUCGAACCCAACGGGUCGAACGGGCCCCUGACUCGCGCUCUGAUCGGGGGCGCCCAACCAAACCAUGGUUGGUGGGCCCUUGUGACCCGCGCUAUAUAAACAGAGGUGGGGUCGGGGCACGACUCACGAGGUUAAUCGCUGCCACAAUCCCCACCUACAAUCCCUAUCGAUCUAGGGUUAGCGCGGUGCUCACGGGAAGCUCCACCACCUCGCCCACUCUCUGCCAUCACCGGCCACCGUCACCAUGGCCGGCACCGGGAGUUCCUCGACUGGACAAGCAGAAGGUAGGUUCACCGGAUCUAAUCCUACCCUACACGAUCCCAUGGAUCUAUCAGAUAAUUUAUAUUGAAGCUGUCAUGAUGGCUGGAUGUAUGUCGAGGAAGAUUUUGUUUAAUGAGGUGAAAAGCUGGAACCAUUUUAAAGAAAAGCAUGAUGGCUGUUGUGGAUGA